rnacentral:rRNA from 1 species
UACGUAGGGGGCAAGCGUUGUCCGGAAUCAUUGGGCGUAAAGAGCGUGUAGGCGGUCCGGUCAGUCGGUUGUGAAAGUCAAGGGCUCAACCCUUGAAUGCCGGCCGAUACUGCCGGGCUAGAGUCCGGAAGAGGUGAGUGGAAUUCCUGGUGUAGCGGUGAAAUGCGUAGAUAUCUGGAGGAACACCGGUGGCGAAGGCGGCAUCCUGGACCGACACUGACACUGAGGAGCGAAAGCCAGGGGAGCAAACGGG